GUAACGAAAGUUUUUAUCUCUUCAACGAUAAGCUCGUGGUGGGGCGUCAGUUAAGAGUCCCAUUCACCGCAGCAAUAGUAACCUCCCCUCUCAGAAACGACGGGCAGAGCUGCCUAAACCAGCAUAAAAGACAAUAUAGAGCAAAUUUAAUUGCUGAAGCUUCAGCUUCAGCCAGUAACAUAUUUGAACUUACAUGAGAAAUUAUUUAGUGUACUCAGUGUAUAUGUAUUAUCUCU
rnacentral:misc_RNA from 1 species